AUAUAGAUUACAUUCAUCUUCUCUAUGUAUAACUCAAUGGUAUCUCAUCAAAUUUUAUUAGCCACAUUAUUGCCUUCUGUUAUAUACAAUUGUUUCUCCUAAACAUAAUUUUGUGCCUGAAAUCGCAGAUCUUAGCCUUUGAUUAUCUAUUUUAGAGCUCAGUUUUCCAGGUGACCCUACUUAUUCUUAUAUUAUUGCAAAAGUUCUUUUGUCUAUGUCUUCUCGUUCUUUCUUUUACUUUCUUGCAAUUCAUUCUUAGCCCUAUUUUAUUACAGAACUUGGAAUUAUUUUUAAGAUAUUGAGAAGUCAAAUGGCAGUAUGAGAAAUACUUAGGAUUCAGGUUGACAUACACAUAUGCUCUAUCUUUUUGACUUUGUUUAUAUGAAUGGUCUCAUGUUUUUGAUGUUUCAAUUUCAAUAUUCUUAGAAGAUGAGAACCAAAAUUGCCAUCUGUAAUUCUGAUGUCACUCAGGAUGUUAUGUAUAUUUUCAUAUACUUCUCAUAAUCAAUCUUUUCAAAGUUUAAUGAUGCUUGAUUUUCUGCACAGAAAAACGAAAGACCAGCAAUGUGUCAAAGAUAUGAGAAAUACCAGAUAAGAUCUAAAGGCAGCCUGAAUCUUGAUUGCAGCAGCCUCCUCAAUGUUGCUGGAUGUUUUACCGGUGGCAGCGGAGGUUAAACGCAUCACAUCUGCUGCAGCCUGGGCAGCAGCCAUAGCAGCAUCUGCUGCUGCAGCCGCUGCCACUGCUACAGCCAUUGCGUGCCUCUGCUGAUCAUUCUCAGCCUCUGGCAGUGCAUUAGCAGGUGCACUUACAGUUGGGUCUGGAGAUCUUAAACCCUUCCCCGCUGCUGCUGGUCUCCGGAAGCUCCAUCUCUUCUUCUCCUUUGGUUUGGGCACUGGGAUUGGAGCUGAUUGGGCCUCUGUCGGCAGUGGAGAUGCUAAGAAGGAGUUGGGAGCCAUUUGCACAGAAAAAGCUACACAAGACAAGGAGGCAAGCAUCCAUAUGGCUCAUAUAGAAGGUGACUUGUAUCUGUUUUUAAUCUCUGGACCAGGACCGCAGGAAAAGGAGAGAAAAUUAUGACCCUGCUAUAUCCAUUGUGCUGUUAUGGAAGCAAAAAUCAAGGGUUGGAUCUGUUGCUAAAGUGGAUAAAAAGGCCUAUCUGUUAAGUUGUGGGAAAAAAAUUCUGUUGGUGAUUCCUAUCUACAGAUUUUAGCAUCAUCCAUUUCCGAUGUCGUCAAAUCUAAGUGACAAUAGUGAGAUAAGCAAUUAGGGAAUAACAGUGUCCCCACAGGAGGAUAAUUGAAGUGUAUGGUGUGUAUUAUUGCACAAUAACUUGUAGUUUAGUUGGCAAUCACAUGAUGCUGCAUACAUUACUUCCCUUUCUGACCAUAUGCUUGCAUGAGAGGAGCAGCAUCCAGGUUCAAGCUCAUAUGAUAUUCCAUUGGUCUGGAAGUGCUAAUAUAUAUGUACAAUCUUUAAUUAGAUAUGAGAGAGAGAGAGAGAGGACUUGUCCUACCAAAUGAUGGUACUGAAUUUGAGGUUCACUUGUGCAUGUACUUGAAUGUUUUAUAAGUUUGGAUUCCUUCAAGGAUAAUGUUUACAAGUAUGGAUUCUUUCAAGCAUAUGUGGAGGGGAUUUGAAUCGAUUCUUAGCUCUAAAAUAUAAAGCCAUGGGACAUGGAUGAAGGUCUGAAGAAGGUUCAAGACGGCACCUUUUAUAAUCCCUGAUGAUUACCAUAUGAUGACUUAGAAAAUAGCCAUCCCCUAGAGGUUGCUUCCUUUUUGUUACGUGUACCACCUCCCAUCACAUGUUUAUUAACUUUAUCCUACGGUUUUUAUGGGAAGGUGAACCCCAGAGGCUGCAGGAAAGAAGCAAGGUGGCAGAAAAAAAAAUAUUAGAAAGGUGAACCACAUGGCUGAAGCUGCUGCAUGUGCAUCAUGGAAUAAACGAAGGUGGAAAAGGGACCACUUCAUGGCAGGGCAUUUUAAGGCUUGGCCUCAAAUUAUGCAACAAGAACCAAGACACGAGUAUAUGCAGGUUUAUCCCAUGGCAAGGGGUGAUUUUAGGCAGAGUAUGUACAGAAGAAUUUUACUUUGAUUUGCCCAAGACUGUUCAUUUAUUUUUUAUCAAGAACCAAGACACGAGUAUAUGCAGGUUUAUCCCAUGGCAAGGGGUGAUUUUAGGCAGAGUAUGUACAGAAGAAUUUUACUUUGAUUUGCCCAAGACUGUUCAUUUAUUUUUUAUCAUAGUAUCAAAAGGUGCAUUGUAGAUUGUACUGCAUGGUUAAACUAAACAAUUACACAAUGAACUUAUGUAAACAAGAUGUGCAACUUGAUAAUAGAGCAUAUGCGCUUUUAUAUGAAACCUCUUGCGUGAGUACAACCAGCAAAGUCAAAAGAAAAAAAAGAUGGCGUAAGGGUGGAAAGGAGGCUAUAAACCAUGUCCAAAGGAUCUCUUUCGAAUGAUAAACAACAAAGGAGACGAUUCAGUCUACAGUCCUAUUCGUCUCUCGAUACACAUGAGCAGCUUGAAAUGAGCCACAAUCUUUCGUCAUUCUGUGGAUAUUCCUAAGUAGUGGGUGGCCAUUGCCCCGUCGGUCCUUCAUGGAUAUAUUAAUAUUUUUCAUUACAUGCCUUUAUUUGUUAUCUAUGCAGAUUAAACUUCAUGGAUAAUUUGCGCACCAGAAGUUGAGCAGCUUUGUUUUUCCUUUGUUUCAAGUAAGGUGGGCAGUUUGGGCUCGAUUGAUGAUUUAUACUUACCUUGCUAAUUUAACAUCCUUCUUGAAGUGCUUAUCUCUCAUCCAAGAAAGCUAAGGGUAGAAAGGAAUCAUGAAAGGUGUUGGGGUUAAGGGUGUAAUGCAAAUUCGAUGAGGUGGGAUGGUUGCUUGGUCAAAGGAAAUAGAUAGGAAAUGCAAGGGCAGGGUAUUGUGGGAUAUAGAGUGAGGAUGCAUGGGAUUAUAGGGGAUAGAUGCAUGCCGGGAGCUUGCAAUUGCCUUCCCUAAAAUUCUGAGUUUCCCUUGACUACCUGAUGAUAACUAACAAGUUUGCACCCCCUUGAGCCCUUAAGUUUUAGGAUCUUAUAGAUUCAGAUGUGUACCAUUCGAACACAUUUCUAUUAUUAUUUUUUAUUUUUCUUUUUGACAUAUCCAAAUCAAGCAAGUUUUGAACUCACAAGAUCUUCUUGC